CCCCUCCCCGCCGGGGUGGGGGUGACCGAGGCACCUCCCCCGGCUGAGCCCGGAGGGCGGGGGGCUCUGCCCGCCCCCGGCGGUGUGUGUGUGUGUGUGUGUGUGUGUGUGUGUGUGUGUGUGUGUGUGUGUGUGUGUGUGUGUGUGUGUGUGUGUGCGCGCGCGAGCUCACGCCGCGCCCCUACCCCUAAGCACAUGCGGAUACCCACCGCAUCACAGCAAACGGGCGAGUUGGCGAGCGCUCUCCCGUCUGCUUCUCUUCACAAGCCACCAGCUUUCCCCAUUCCCAUUGCCCGAGAUUUUUCCCUGCUUCAGUGACUCCAUUUCAGUGGUUAAUGCUUUCUGAACCCGUAUGACUUACAGAUAUAUAUUAGUCAUUUAUGACAACAGUCAAGAAUUACGUGCGAAGAGUGAUUUCCAAAGCAGUUUUAAAAGUCUGAAGGAGUGCUAACUACCACUAUUGCUAUCUCAGGAUGGUGGGCAAAUAUAUUUCUACCUGACACAUCCUCCUCCUCCACCAGUGCCAAUUAUAACUCAGAUGGACUCGGGGGAUUACUGACAAUUUCUUUAAUGGUGUGUGAGAGUUCCCAUUGCCCAUAUAGAUUUACUCUGCAACACAGACAGUGACAAAAAGAAUCUGCAGAGAAGAGUAUUAAUAUUUCACAAAUUGUGUAAGAUAUAGGAAUCAAGAGAACACAGCUAUGUCUGAUCUACCUCUCAGGAAUCGAACUGGAAUUUCCUUUGUGUCAAAGAUGGCUCACAUGCAUUUUAUUAGCUUUUAAAUAAGGCUUCUAAUCUUACACAUCAAUUAACAAAAUGUAGGAAUAUUGUCAAACAUUUAUGCUUGCAGUAUGAGAAAGGAGUAAUUUAUUCUGUACUGAUCUCUGUAUAUCAGUACCGGUCACUGCAACGUGCCUUUAAGAGGGCUAAAAUAAGUAAUAUAGACUGAUGGAUUCCAGGAUACUGCCAAUUGUCCAAAUUCCAUAAGCCUCACCUUCCAAUUUCUGUAGUUUCAUGCAGGGAGGAAUUACACUCUGAAACUGCUACACAUUUCAAAUCUCUAUAAAAACUCAAUGUCUGAUCAGUCAUAUCUCUAAUGUUUUGUAGGUAAAGCAAUGAAACAGCUUUCCUAAGAUCUGGAUUAAAUUUCUUGAAAUGUUCUAUACUCCUUGGAUGUCUUUGGAUCUGCUAUUUGUUUUGUUUUGUUUCAUUUUCUGUUCUUCAAGAUUACUUUUCCUAGCUUUAUCAUCAUGUAGAGUACGUCCUCUGAGCCAGAAUACUAUGUAGUAAUAAUUCUUAUUUUGUACUUAUAGGGGAGUUGAAUACAACAGUCUGAUUUGGAGUAUUGGUUAGGGAUAGGGUCUCUAGAUGCCUGAUUCAUGUGUGAGGUUUUAACUUAAGCAGUGAAUGGUGGAUUUCAUUGUUAAUUGAUACUUAGAAAUAAUGUUUUACCUCUGGAAAUAGCUAUGCAAUUAAUUUAAUAAAAUGAACUGAUCAGAAUGUAUGUGUUUAUUUUGAAUUACAUUUCUACACAUAAAUGCUAAUUAAAAUUCAUUGCUGCUGAUAGUAACAUUAUUAACAUGUAUACAGUGUACCGUUAACAGUAACAGAAGUAGCAUUAAUUAGUGGAAUUAGAUAUUUUUUCUACUGAGAUAAUGUCCCAAAUGGCAAUUACAUAUAUAUGUACAUUCUCUACAGAUAUUACUAAUAGCAUCAUUAGAUCAAUACAACGUAAGUUUAGAAACACUGAAUAAGUUUAGUGACUGGGGACUCAACAGAGAAUCCUCCCCCCCCCCCCUUUUUUUUUUUUUUUUUUUUUUUUUUACUUCUGUGUGAUUUUCAAUGAAGUCAGGAAUUUCUGGAUGGCAG
ensembl:lncRNA